UGCUAAAGACGAGAGACUCCUCGCCUAAGG
rnacentral:piRNA from 1 species